CAUGCAAGUCGAACGGUAACAGGAAGAAGCUUGCUUCUUUGCUGACGAGUGGCGGACGGGUGAGUAAUGUCUGGGAAACUGCCUGAUGGAGGGGGAUAACUACUGGAAACGGUAGCUAAUACCGCAUAACGUCGCAAGACCAAAGAGGGGGACCUUCGGGCCUCUUGCCAUCGGAUGUGCCCAGAUGGGAUUAGCUAGUAGGUGGGGUAACGGCUCACCUAGGCAACGAUCCCUAGCUGGUCUGAGAGGAUGACCAGCCACACUGGAACUGAGACACGGUCCAGACUCCUACGGGAGGCAGCAGUGGGGAAUAUUGCACAAUUGGCGCAAGCCUGAUGCAGCCAUGCCGCGUGUAUGAAGAAGGCCUUCGGGUUGUAAAGUACUUUCAGCGAGGAGGAAGGCAUUGUGGUUAAUAACCACAGUGAUUGACGUUACUCGCAGAAGAAGCACCGGCUAACUCCGUGCCAGCAGCCGCGGUAAUACGGAGGGUGCAAGCGUUAAUCGGAAUUACUGGGCGUAAAGCGCACGCAGGCGGUCUGUCAAGUCGGAUGUGAAAUCCCCGGGCUCAACCUGGGAACUGCAUUCGAAACUGGCAGGCUAGAGUCUUGUAGAGGGGGGUAGAAUUCCAGGUGUA
rnacentral:rRNA from 1 species